rnacentral:lncRNA from 10 species
GCACAUGUAGUUUGUGGUGAAUGCAAUUUCAGGGAACCAAGGCUUAAUCCCAGAGAUACAAUAAUAUCAGGCAUUGGACAGAGGAGCAAAGUCAGAGACAGCAGCUGAGAAGUUGAGAGCUGGCGUCAUUAGAACAGGCUGGGAAAUAUGAGUGUGAGGCAUGUCUCGGCAGGAAGGUCCAGCAUUGGCCGGGGAACAAAGCAGACUUCUUGGCAUGCCCUCUCGCUGAGGCUAUGUGAACUGCUGGGCAGGCCGGCCUGCUUAAAGGUCUCACUCCGGACAAGUAAACACCAAUACCACCAACCUGAGUAGGCCUUCCAUGAAAUACUGGGGACACUAAGAAGCCACACCCCCUGAAACAUUCUAUGGUCAUUCAGCAUUUGAAGCAAAUUGGAAAGGUGAAAAACCUGAUAAGU